rnacentral:rRNA from 1 species
UACGUAGGGGGCUAGCGUUGUCCGGAAUCAUUGGGCGUAAAGCGCGUGUAGGCGGUCCGGUAAGUCCGCUGUGAAAGUCGAGGGCUCAACCCUCGAAUGCCGGUGGAUACUGUCGGGCUUGAGGACUGGAGAGGAGACUGGAAUUUACGGUGUAGCGGUGAAAUGCGUAGAUAUCGUAAGGAAGACCAGUGGCGAAGGCGGGUCUCUGGACAGUUCCUGACGCUGAGGCACGAAGGCCAGGGGAGCAAAACGGG